AUACGAUAAAAUUCAUCAUACCACUGUCUCAAAAACAAUGAUGGUUCAAAGGUUUUGGCCUUGGAAAAUUUAUUUUGAUGCUAAAGGGUUAUACCAAGCACUGUGAUUAUUGACAGGGCUACUCACUAAUCACUAAUUUUGUUUGGAUGGACAAAAUCCGGUGAAAAGGGAGACAUUCCGACAAGAAUGGCAAUUCUCAUAUUCACUAAAGCCAAAUCAGGUUGGAAUCCAAUCGGCC